AGAUUGAACGUCUGGUCGGCAUGCCUAACACAUGCAAGUCGGAGCGGCAGCGCGGGGGCGACCCUGGCGGCGAAGCGGCGGACGGGUUGAGUAAGGCAUCGGAAUCUGCCCUGAUGUGGGGGGAUAACGUAGGGAAACUUACGCUAAUACCGCAUACGACCGAGAGGUGAAAGCGGGGGACCGAAAGGCCUCGCGCAGCAGGAUGAGCCGAUGUCCGAUUAGCUAGUUGGUUGGGGUAACGGCCUACCAAGGCUACGAUCGGUAGCUGGUCUGAGGAGGACGACCAGCCACACUGGGACUG
rnacentral:rRNA from 1 species